rnacentral:pre_miRNA from 1 species
CACCACAAGUGGAUGAAGCUGCCAGCAUGAUCUGACAGUAGCUCGAUCUCUUGCUGAUGAUUUACAAAACCUUAGAGCCAUCAGAUCAUCUGGCAGUUUCAUCUUCUCAUGGC